rnacentral:rRNA from 1 species
UGGGGAAUAUUGCACAAUGGGCGCAAGCCUGAUGCAGCCAUGCCGCGUGUGUGAAGAAGGCCUUCGGGUUGUAAAGCACUUUCAGCGAGGAGGAAGGUGGUGGAACUUAAUACGUUCAUCAAUUGACGUUACUCGCAGAAGAAGCACCGGCUAACUCCGUGCCAGCAGCCGCGGUAAUACGGAGGGUGCAAGCGUUAAUCGGAAUUACUGGGCGUAAAGCGCACGCAGGCGGUUUGUUAAGUCAGAUGUGAAAUCCCCGGGCUCAACCUGGGAACUGCAUUUGAAACUGGCAAGCUAGAGUCUCGUAGAGGGGGGUAGAAUUCCAGGUGUAGCGGUGAAAUGCGUAGAGAUCUGGAGGAAUACCGGUGGCGAAGGCGGCCCCCUGGACGAAGACUGACGCUCAGGUGCGAAAGCGUGGGGAGCAAAACAGGAUUAGAUACCCUGGUAGUCCACGCUGUAAAACGAUGUCGAUUUUGGAGGUUGUGCCCUUGAGGCGUGGCUUCCGGAGCUAACGCGUUAAAUCGACCGCCUGGGGAGUACGGCCGCAAGGUUAAAACUCAAAGGAAUUGACGGGGUC